AGAAGUUUAUUAAAAUAAACUCCACCCCCCAUCGUCUUCCACAAAAACAAAAGCCCCAAACCCUUACGUACAACACCACAACAACAGCAAAACUAAACGAACCCUAGCCAUUUCCCAAAAAAUCCAAAAUCAAACGAUCCCUAAAGCUCAAAGAAAAGAUCUUCUCCCAAAUCGUACGAUCCAGCUCAUUUGAUUCUCCAAACGCUAGGCUCUGUUGGCUUAAGUCAUUGCAUGAAAAUGAACAGGUUACUAUACCUGAUCAAGGCCCCUGUGUUUAAACAGAUACUACACUAGACAAGGUUGUUGUUUUGAUAACUGCUGAGCCUUUCUGAUCAUUCUGCUGGUGUGUUAUAUUGGCUAAAACUUGACUUAGUUUGGUGCUGUUCUUGCACUGAAAUGACUGCAUCUUGUGGAAAAAAUGAAUGCUAUACCAUGGUCUGUUUUUUGGGAACUGAGGUCAUUACUUUUGUUUUGCUCUGAGAAGAACAGUUUACUUGAUGUUUUACUGAAAUUUCAGACCACACUUAAGAUAUUUUUUCUGAUUUGAACAUGAUAAUACACUAGGGACGAUGAAGAGUUAUUUAACUUGAGGCCUCAUUUUAAAAGAACAAGAUUUCUACACUUGACCUUAGUUGAAAGGAACAAAUAUUUUACUGAAAAGAACAAAUACUACAUGUCGGAUAUUUCAUUGAAAAGAAUAGAUACUACUAUCAGAUAUUCUACUGAUUUGAAUAGAUACUUAACUUGAUAAUAUUUAGUUGGGAAAGGUAAUUAUCCUUCGGGGGCUAGGAUGAUGGCUCAUUGGUGUCGCGAGGUAGGAACCGACAUGCGCCUGGCGUGGCGACUAGAAUGACCACUAGUUCGCAGCCACGCAUGCUUCUAGCUCCUUUGCCAUAUUCGGAACCAUGAGUCUGAGCCCGUCGUAAUCAAAGCUUCCACAUUUGAUUCGAAACCAAAGGGUAAUUUAUUUUAUGUUUAUAAACGUCACCCUAUGAGGGUGGAAUACCAUUUUUACUAAUCAUUCUCGUUUCUAUUUUUGCGAGAUACAAAUAAACAAGUUCGGGGAAUGUUAUAAAGAUGAGAGUGGCAUAUUGGAGCAUAAACAUGGAAUUUGGACAAAUGGAAGGACAAAGGAGAAGUAUCAAAAGACGAGGCAAAGACUUAGACAUUUGGAGCUUCAGAGGAAGAAUAAAAGAAGAAUGGAAUUGCAACUAAAGGUCCAAGAAGGCGAGGAGAUAGGCUUAUCCGAUUAACCUUUCUCCACCUUCAUUUAUCUCCCUCUCUUUAGUUAUUUUAAAACAUUCUAUCAUUUGUGAUUUUUUAAUUAUUAUUGGGACCCUAUAGGAUAAAACUUAAGAUUACUUCUAGAUUUAGAGUUGCCAAAACUGAUUUCCAAAACCAUGUAUAAAACAAAUGUGAAAUAUAAAUUACUCUUAAUAAAAGUUUGCCUUGUUCAUAA